GAUGAACGCUAGCGGCAGGCUUAAUACAUGCAAGUCGAGGGGUAGCAAGAUUUUAGCAAUACAAUUGUUGACGACCGGCAAACGGGUGCGGAACACUUACACAACCUUCCUACAAGUGGGGAAUAGCCCAGAGAAAUUUGGAUUAAUACCCCGUAACAUAGCGAUGUGGCAUCACAUUGCUAUUAUAGCUUCGGCGCUUGUUGAUGGGUGUGCGGCUGAUUAGAUAGUUGGCGGGGUAACGGCCCACCAAGUCUACGAUCAGUAGCUGAUGUGAGAGCAUGAUCAGCCACACGAGCACUGGGACACGGGCCCGACUCCUACGGGAGGCAGCAGUAAGGAAUAUUGGACAAUGGACGCAAGUCUGAUCCAGCCAUGCCGCGUGAAGGAUUAAGGUCCUCUGGAUUGUAAACUUCUUUUAUAAGGGACGAAAAAAGGUCUUUCUAGAUCGUCUGACGGUACCUUAUGAAUAAGCACCGGCUAACUCCGUGCCAGCCGCCGCAGUAAGAC
rnacentral:rRNA from 1 species